rnacentral:lncRNA from 1 species
CAAGUCAUAGAAAUGCACAUCAACACACAUCUAGACUAGCGGAACAAGGCUCCGAAAGCAAAUAAAACAAAGAGAAGGCACAACUGCGAGCCCCAGAAAACAACAAUAGCAAGCGAAUAAGUCCCGUUGAGAAAAGUUGUACUUUCGAAAGCCGGAUUCUUAGGAGAGAGGAACCCCUCGACUCCUCAUCCAGUCUAGUCAACCAGAUCUUUCAUAUCGUUCGUCAAGAACCAAAACAUGAACGACCGACCUCAGAAAGCAAACGUGCGAAGGGGUGAACGAGAUGCACCCAUCUCUUAAAUAAAAAACGAAAUCGAUCAAUUUCGGAAAGCAAACGCGCAAAGAGACGAACAGAGAGGUAAUCAUCUUCUUGUCCAGAUCUUUCAGAUCGAUCAUCAACAAGCAUAAAAGGUAAUCAUCUUCUUGUCCAGAUCUUUCAGAUCGAUCAUCAACAAGCAUAAAAGGUAAUCAUCUUCUUGUCCAGAUCUUUCAGAUCGAUCAUCGACAAGCAUAAAAGAAGGAUCGAUUUCAGAAAACAAACACGCGAAGAGACGAACGGAGAGGUAAUCUCAGAUCUUUCAGAUCGAUCGCCAAGAAGAAAGCAAACACCGAAAGAAACGGAUGGAGAGGUAAGACAGGAAUGCGAGAGGAUCGAAUCGAGGUAC